rnacentral:pre_miRNA from 1 species
UUUCUACUCCCUCCAUCCGAAAAUACUUGUCAUCAAAAUGGAUAAAAAGAGAUGUAUCUAAAACUAAAAUACUUCUAGAUACAUUUCCUUUUAUCCAUUUUGAUGACAAGUAUUUCCGGACGGAGGGAGUAUUUG